AAGCAGCAGAGGAACAUGAAAAUGAUCCCAUUUCUGCGAUUCUUUGAUCUCAAACACAAUAGAGACAUAAGGGAAAAAUCCAUCAGGAUUAUACUUACCGGUGUUGAAACUUAUCCUGUAUAUACCUGGGACCAAAGCUUCAACCAUAUUCAUCAACUGACCACUUCGGCCAUCUUUGUCCGUUGCUGAAGACCCUAGUAAUAUCCAGCCAUCAAUAUAAGUUUUGCCAAAUUGUGGUCUUGCUUGGUUGUCUUUCCACAUCUCCAGUCGUACUUCAAUGCCAUUCGCUGGAUAUCCACGGCUAGUGUCCAGAACAUGGGUUGUGAUGGGCGGGCGAGUUCUAUUUGGAAUAAGAGCUGGUUUUGCUCGAGCAGCUCCAGAAGAAGCAGUCAAAUGUGCUCCAAUAAUGUUCACACGAUCUUCUGCUUUUGUCGCAAUAUUAGUUGUAGACAAGGGUUUAAUUGCCGGAGCAGUAUCUGCUUUGUCUGAGAAGAGCUUGGAAAGGCGUAAUUCAGUUAUUUUCAUUUGCUCCUGGGCUGCAAUCUCAAACUCAAUUAUUGGUCUGUUCUGGUAUCGAAUCUUCAACUCUGCAAGUAUCUCAGGGGUACUUCUCCCUGAAGCACAUAUCAAGAAGACAAAGCCAAACUUCUCCCUAUAGCGAGCAUUCCACUCGAGCAGUUCCUGUAACGUCAACUCAGUAGCAGUGGACAGAGCUGUUGACUGCUCUCCCUUGCUCCACUGGGCAAAAGUAGGGCUUUUGUGAUCCCGAGAAGGGUUUUGACCAAUUUGUGGAUGAGCAGCAAAAGCUUCAAGCCAUCCAUUAACAUCAACCUUGUUGAACCAGAUAUUUCUGGCAACAUGGAUGGCAUCUUGAUGAGUAGAAAAGGGGCCAGCUGCUACCAUUUCCUUUGCGAAUUUGGUGCUCCCACAGCAUGCCAAGAAAUCUUUUUCAUCAAACACUGAUCCCAUUUUUCUGCAAAUUUUCAGAUUAAUUAGCAGCACACAACACUUUCACAGGAUUCCAAAUUGGGUUUUG
rnacentral:misc_RNA from 1 species